CCAUAUAAUGUUUUGGCUAGAACAAAGAGAUAUCAGAAAAAAGUUAAAAAGAUAAAAUAUGAGACAAAGCAAUAUCCAGAACACAAAGGGUCGCGAUCAAACAUCAGUUGCAAAAAACCAAAAAAACGGGUUAGAGAAAGAAUAAUCAUCGAAAUAAUAAAGUCACCACGAAACAAAAAGACGCAUGUCUAAAGCACCAUAAGCACAACUACCAGUUAAGAGAUAAAAAAAAACACUUUACAAACUAGAUAAUCACAUACAAGGCGCUCAUGCCAGCAAAGAACCACAAAACUCUGAAUAAAAAAUACCAAAGCUUCAAAAGAUUAACUCCGCACACCUACACCAAAGGAUACAUGAGAAGAAGAUAAACAACCUGAGUGAGGGAAAAUGAAAGCCAACCACUAAGAAACCAAAGCUUAAGCUUGAGACCAUAGACAAUCUUCCAGGCGCACAAAGCAUACACAUAUAAAAACACUAUCCAAACAUGGAUUAUCAAAUAUGGCGAAAGGGAGAGCCACAAGAGACGUGAUCAUCAAUGAAAGGUGCAUCGAGAUGAGAGAACAAAGAGAUAAAAAAGAGACAAAAUGAAAUCAACAAACCGUGGAGCCAUCCUCGAGCUAUAAAAAAGAGCAUAGAAGUCAGAUCACCAAAACUCAGAUCUUAAAAACCAAGACGAGCAGAGACUAUUGGCGGCAAACCAACGACGAGGAAUACAACAUCAAUGACAACUAAACUCUGAUCCAACUCAAGGAGAUGUAAUUUCUAACCUUAGCCAAAACC
rnacentral:lncRNA from 1 species